UACGAAGGGGGCUAGCGUUGCUCGGAAUUACUGGGCGUAAAGGGCGCGUAGGCGGGUUGCUAAGUUAGAGGUGAAAGCCCAGGGCUCAACCCUGGAAUUGCCUUUAAUACUGGCAGCCUUGAGUAUGGCAGAGGUGUGUGGAACUCCGAGUGUAGAGGUGAAAUUCGUAGAUAUUCGGAAGAACACCAGUGGCGAAGGCGACACACUGGGCCAUUACUGACGCUGAGGCGCGAAAGCGUGGGGAGCAAACAGG
rnacentral:rRNA from 1 species